AGGGCUGUAGUUAAUAAUAACAUUUAAUUUGCAUUUAAAAAGUAUUGAUUUAUCAAUCUGCCUU
rnacentral:tRNA from 1 species